rnacentral:antisense_RNA from 1 species
UUGACGGUCCACUCCCAGAGCGCGUCACCGCCGAGCAGGGCCUCGUCACCGAAGUGGUCGCCGUUGGCGAGCACGCCCAGCACGGCGUGGCUGUCGCCGAACUUGCCGGUGCCGAUCUUGUUGACCUUGCCGUGCGCGAUGACCAUCAGGUGGUCGACGACCUCGCCGUACUCGGCGAUCACCUCACCCGGCUGGAAGUCGCGCUGCGCGAAGCGCGAGGCCAGCUCCCCGAGCAGCGCGCCGUCGUCCAGCCCGCGCAGCAGCGGCAGUUCGACGAGGCUGGGCGGCACGAUCCGGGUCUCCGCCCCGGUCUGCGCAAAGCUCAGCCGCCCGCGCCCUGCGGCGUAGCUGAGCCGGCGGUUCACCCGGUAGGUGCCACCGGACACCUCCACCCACGGCAGCAUGCGCAGCAGCCACCGGGAGGUGAUGCCCUGCAUCUGCGGCGGCGUCUUGGUGGUGGUGGCGAGGUUCUUGGCCGCGGCGGUGUUCAGCGCGGACUGCUGCGCUGCGG